UUGCUUGGCACACGCGUCAGUGGCCAGCUGUGGGCAUCCGGUGCUGUUGUGGGAUUUGUGAUGCAUUUCGUCCGUUGAUUGGCAUCAAACCAGUACUUGUGUUUCUUUUUCCCCUUUUCUUCUCCUUUCCUUUAGGUUUUGUUUUUGCCAGAUUUCUUUUCUUUUGCUUGUGGUGUGUUUGCUGUGGUUGUUUGCUCCGACUGAUGGGUUUGGGCUUUGGUGUUUCGCCUUCGUCUAUGGUUCGUUGAUCAGGGUUUUGGCUUUCGUGUUUUGCCUUUGUCUGUGGUUCGUUAAUCAGAUUGAACUGUCUUCUGCUAUGCCUGCUACUGCUAUCCUGCCAUUAUUACUUCUGUUUUGGAUUGGAUGCUCUUAACUGAUGUUUCCUGCUGAUGACUACUGCAUUAGAGAAUGAUCGACUAAACUCAGCUCAAGCCAAAAGAACUAUUCAAAAAGUUCAUUUAAGAGGUCUUUGUUUUCUGUGUUAUGCAUCUCUAGAUAUCAUUGUUGAAUUGUGCAGAGAUUUCAACUAUUUGGCAGUUCAUGUGGUAAUUGUUAGAUCUUUUGUAUGUUGGUGCUUUUACUUUACUGGUUAAUUUUGGUUAUUGAGCUGGUUUUACAUGUCUUUGAUUUCACUGGGUCAAUUCCAAGCAUAGCUGAUGAGGGUAGUAUGUUCGUAUAGACUGUCGAGGAUUGGUUACUUGUGUCAUGUGGUGUUGACGUUAAUUUUGAAUACAGACUGGGUGACAUCUGAGUGAGGAUGGUGAAAAAUUGAAGAGGCAUUUCGAAUGCGUUCAAGUAUGACAUUCUUGGAGGUGUAGUCUAAUGCUGUAGUUCAGCGGGUGAUAAUAGAGGCAGUUUUAUCAUGUCGUUUUCUCCUUUAUCCUCCUUUUUCCAACUAUAGAUUUUAGGGAAUCAUUUCAGCUUAAGUUCUGUGCAACCAAAAAUACCACCACCUCUCCCUCCCUCUCUCUUUCUUUUUCUAACCCAAAAAUAUGAUAACAAUGUAAUUCAAUGGGCACAAAACUCGUGCCAUGCACGAGACCGGACCU